ensembl:lncRNA
CUAGUUUAAGUUGUAAAAAAAGGGGCUAAGGUUCACCAAUGUUCCCAACUGAAAAGUUUUAUUAAAACACAUGUUUUAGACAUUUUCGAAAUGUUUUGAAAAAACAUUAAGUAAACUUAGUCCACUAAUGCGAAGUCACCGAAAAUUUUUUCCUUACCGAUUAGUUUAAAAAACUUUUAUUACAAAAGUCAUCAAUGCAGAUUCUUCUCUGACUUUGUAUUAAGUUCAGCCAAAUUUUGUUAUGUGAGAUCAUCCUUUAGGUUAUUUCAGCUUGUGAACCGCCAUACACUACAGCUUUCUGCCUCCACUAAACACUGCCAUGGAGGUGGGAAUGGAGGCCUUGGAGGGAAAGCAGAAGGCGUGGAUUUGGCUUCUGGUCUGAUUUUGCUUCAAGAUUCAGAGAUGUAUAGGUUUAUCACGCUCUUGCUAAACUGAAUGACUUCAACCCUUGGUGUCCCGUUUCCUUGUUUUUUCAUGUUCCUUGAAGUCUUGCCUUGCUGUCUUCACCCCUGAAGAAGCAGUCACUUCCUCCAUCAAGCGACUGGCUUCAGGAGAGAAACACACACCUUGGGUCGCCCUGAGAGGGACUGAGGCGUUCUCAGACCGUUUCUGUGGCCACGUGUGCUCCACACUUCUUGUUCCUUCUUGGGAGGGAAUUCUUAAGGUUGUCUGCCUUCUCUGGAUGCUGCAGAGCCAGGCCGGUGCGGGCAGCCUCCCUUUUGCUUUCUCCAGGUCCCAUUGAACGCUGAAGUUUGCAUGCUUUCUCUCCAUCCCGCUCACUAGCCAUCUGCGAAGACUCACCAACCUUGGGUGGGGGUCGGGUGCGCACCCACAGCACCGGCCAGGGGGUGGGGGUGUGGGGACUGAGAUGUGCGCAGCACUGGGGUGUCCGUGGGCCGUCUGGGGAGAUCCGCAGGCAAGCUGUCCCCAGCAGCUUGUGGGUGGGCUUCCUGAUGGAGUCCGCAAAGUGGCUGGUAGAAUGGUCCUUUCGAUGCCCUCCGAGAGCCCGGGCUGCCUUCUCCCAGCCCCCUCCGCCCCCCACCGGUCGUGCAGCACACCCGGCGUUCUGGAUGCGGGGAGAGAGAGAAGUGGGCAGGCUCCCCUACAGUUGGGGAAGCCAGACGCUCACGCCCACGCCCUCACCUCCCCCUUGGGGAGAAAUCGCUGUGUGCUGGAAUUUCGCGGGUGUCUGGGAUUCCCACAAAGGUGCUCUUAUCCGCGGAUGAUGUUCAACAUCAGUGUUCGUUGGGUGUGCCCACAACACCAGGCUGCCUUUAUGGAGAAAAAGCGUGGAUUCUUCUGCGCCUUGGUACAACUUGACAGACCUAGCAGUCUGUCUCUGAGGAACUUAAAUGAGACACGGACAAUGUAAAUGAGGUCCCAGGGCAGAGAUUACCAGUGGCGGGUCUCGCUCUGUAUCAAAAAGACAACCCCCACUGCUUUCAUGGUGAAGCAAACUUGAGCAAGCUUGGACUGCCCCCAGAUCCCAGAUUCCAGACAGGCAGUCGCUCCCCGCCCCAUGCUACUGAAAACAGUUUUCCUCAUUGUGCACUGAUCGUUGUAAGCAGAUCCUGGCACGAGGAGGUCAAUGGCCCUAUCAGAAUGCGCUCCUCAGCCAUUCCUGUGCCGACUCAGAAAAUCUCCUCUCUCUAACGGCAGCCCAACCGAUGAAUAAUUGCCCUCUCCAAGAUCCAAGAGCCAAAACCAAAUUUCCCCGCACAUCUUGGUCUCUGGCUGCAAAUGUGGUCUGUCUCAGUCUUUCUCCUUGAGAGGAAAAGCUGAGGAAAAUUCCCAUCUUGUUCCAACUCGUCCGCUCUGAUGACUCCAAGGUCGGAAGCGUUUUCCAUUCUGCAUAGAGUAGAUUGAAUCUGUUCACUGAGUUUUCAAAGCGAGCAGGAUUUUUUUUUGACCCAGACCUCUAUCACUCAUUAUUGAACUUUAGACUACUUGAGCACUUUCAGUGCCACCUGCAAAAUAUUUUUUAAAAUGUGUCACAACACGCAUUCUUGGAAAAUGGAAUUUGCUCUUCUUAAGAGUUACUUGCCUGCAUUAUUUUCAACAGUGACUGAUUUUCUCAACCCCUAGUUAAAUUUAAACCAUUCUGUGUUCAUUUUCUCACCUUCAUACCUUUUUAAAGCCAUUUCUCCCACUACUUGGGGGAGAUCCCCCCCCACAAUCCCAUCUGAUCUUCAAGUGGUCCCCAACUCUUGCAGCCUGGUGUCGAUAACCUGAUACUACAUAGUACCUGUACCCCUCAUCUUGGUUCCUAGCUAGACUCUGCCUGGCAUUUCAUAUAGCUAUUUCAUGAGGGUCUAUCUUAUCUGAAAUUACGUUAUAAAUUCCUUGAGAACAAAAAUGUUCAUUUUCCAUCUUCUUUCAUGUGUGUGUCCCUGCUUACCCCUCCCUGCCUCCCAUUGAUCACCACAUACCCUCAUAUGUGGAAAAUCGUACAUUUCUUUUUAAACUUGAAAUUAGAGAUGGUCCCUAACUUACCAUGAUUCAACUUAAUUUUUCGACGUUAUGAUGGUGGAAAAGUGAUACGCAUUCUGUAGGAACCCCACUUUGAAUUUUGAUGUUUCCGUGGGCUAGCAAUAUGUGGUAUGGUCCUCCCCUGUGAUGCUGGGCAGUGAGGAUAGCUCCCAGUCAGUCAUGCAGUCACGAGGUGAACAACCCAACACACUGACAGCCAUUCUGUACCCAGACAGUCAUUCUGUUUGUGACUUUCAGUUCAGUAGUCAAUCAAUUACACGAGAGAGUCAACCCUUUAUUAUAAGAUAGGCUUUGUGUCAUAUGAUUUUGCCCAACUGCAGGCUAAUGUAAGUGUUCUGAGCACAUUUUAGUCAGACUAGGCUAAGGUAGGAUGUAGGUUAGGGAUAUUAAAUGCAUUUUCAACCUACGAUAUUUUCAACACUUAAUGGGUUUAUCUAGG